CUAAAAGUAGUUUAUUAAAAUAUUAACAUUGGAAGUUAAUGAUCCACUACCAUGGCUUUUUGA
rnacentral:tRNA from 1 species